rnacentral:rRNA from 1 species
AACGAACGCUGGCGGCGUGCCUAACACAUGCAAGUCGAACGAGAAAGGGGCUUCGGCCCUGAGUAAAGUGGCGCACGGGUGAGUAACACGUAGGUAACCUGCCUCUAAGAUUGGGAUAACUUGUCGAAAGAUGAGCUAAUACCGAAUAAGACCACGGCUUCCUCGGGAGCAGCGGUCAAAGAUAGCCUCUAUUUAUAAGCUAUCACUCAGAGAUGGGCCUGCGUACCAUUAGCUAGUUGGUAGGUAACGGCUACCAAGGCAAGAUGGUUAGCUGGUCUGAGAGGAUGAUCAGCCACACUGGAACUGAGACACGGUCCAGACUCCUACGGGAGGCUG